UGGGGAAUAUUGCACAAUGGGCGCAAGCCUGAUGCAGCCAUGCCGCGUGUGUGAAGAAGGCCUUCGGGUUGUAAAGCACUUUCAGCGAGGAGGAAGGUGGUGAACUUAAUACGUUCAUCAAUUGACGUUACUCGCAGAAGAAGCACCGGCUAACUCCGUGCCAGCAGCCGCGGUAAUACGGAGGGUGCAAGCGUUAAUCGGAAUUACUGGGCGUAAAGCGCACGCAGGCGGUUUGUUAAGUCAGAUGUGAAAUCCCCGGGCUCAACCUGGGAACUGCAUUUGAAACUGGCAAGCUAGAGUCUCGUAGAGGGGGGUAGAAUUCCAGGUGUAGCGGUGAAAUGCGUAGAGAUCUGGAGGAAUACCGGUGGCGAAGGCGGCCCCCCUGGACGAAGACUGACGCUCAGGUGCGAAAGCGUGGGGGCAGCAAAACAGGAUUAGAUACCCCUGGUAGUCCACGCUGUAAACGAUGUCGAUUUUGGAGGUUGUGCCCCUUGAGGCGUGGCUUCCGGAGCUAACG
rnacentral:rRNA from 1 species